rfam:Actinokineospora bangkokensis strain 44EHW Scaffold17, whole genome shotgun sequence.
CUUCACCGACCCCAGCCACAGCGGCUCCGCGCGGUCCUGCCCGUAGGUGGCCAGCAGGGCUUGCGCCUC